UUUUUCUACUCAAAAAAUGGAAAUUAUUUAGCAGCUUCUAAUAGAGAAUUAAGAAAAAUUGUUUCUUCAUUUUGCAGACAAGUAAAUAUGAAUAUUUGCAGUCUUCUGUGAGGAAACUGGUGUCCUACAGCCUGAGGAGAAAAAGACCACUUUAUGAAAUGCUUCCACUUGGCGUAGUGCCUCGAGGCGAAGUCAAGUGGGUGCCCUGUUUGCCCAAAGCGAGAGCUUGA
rnacentral:lncRNA from 1 species